rnacentral:rRNA from 1 species
UGGGGAAUUUUGCACAAUGGGGGAAACCCUGAUGCAGCGACGCCGCGUGAUUUAGAAGGCCUUCGGGUUGUAAAAAUCUUUUUUAUGGGAUGAAAAUGACAGUACCAUAAGAAUAAGGUCCGGCUAAAUACGUGCCAGCAGCCGCGGUAAUACGUAUGGACCGAGCGUUGUCCGGAAUCAUUGGGCGUAAAGGGUACGUAGGCGGCCCAGUAAGUUAGAAGUGAAAUAAUAUAGCUCAACUAUAUAAAGCUUUUAAAACUGCUAGGCUUGAGAGAUGGAAGGGAAAGUGGAAUUCCUAGUGUAGCGGUGAAAUGCGCAGAUAUUAGGAAGAAUACCGGUGGCGAAGGCGACUUUCUGGUCAUCAUCUGACGCUGAGGUACAAAAGCGUGGGUAGCAAACAGG